AGUGAACGCUGGCGGUAGGCCUAACACAUGCGAGUCGAACGGCAGCACAGUAAGAGCUUGCUCUUACGGGUGGCGAGUGGCGGACGGGUGAGGAAUACAUCGGAAUCUACUUUUUCGUGGGGGAUAACGUAGGGAAACUUACGCUAAUACCGCAUACGACCUACGGGUGAAAGCAGGGGAUCUUCGGACCUUGCGCGAUUGAAUGAGCCGAUGUCGGAUUAGCUAGUUGGCGGGGUAAAGGCCCACCAAGGCGACGAUCCGUAGCUGGUCUGAGAGGAUGAUCAGGCACACUGGAACUGAGACACGGUCCAGACUCCUACGGGAGGCAGCAGUGGGGAAUAUUGGACAAUGGGCGCAAGCCUGAUCCAGCCAUACCGCGUGGGUGAAGAAGGCCUUCGGGUUGUAAAGCCCUUUUGUUGGGAAAGAAAAGCAGCAGGUUAAUACCCCGCUGUUCUGACGGUACCCAAAGAAUAAGCACCGGCUAACUUCGUG
rnacentral:rRNA from 1 species